GACGAACGCUGGCGGCGUGCUUAAUACAUGCAAGUCGAGCGAAUGGAUUAAGAGCUUGCUCUUAUGAAGUUAGCGGCGGACGGGUGAGUAACACGUGGGUAACCUGCCCAUAAGACUGGGAUAACUCCGGGAAACCGGGGCUAAUACCGGAUAACAUUUUGAACUGCAUGGUUCGAAAUUGAAAGGCGGCUUCGGCUGUCACUUAUGGAUGGACCCGCGUCGCAUUAGCUAGUUGGUGAGGUAACGGCUCACCAAGGCAACGAUGCGUAGCCGACCUGAGAGGGUGAUCGGCCACACUGGGACUGAGACACGGCCCAGACUCCCACGGGAGGCAGCAGUAGGGAAUCUUCCGCAAUGGACGAAAGUCUGACGGAGCAACGCCGCGUGAGUGAUGAAGGCUUUCGGGUCGUAAAACUCUGUUGUUAGGGAAGAACAAGUGCUAGUUGAAUAAGCUGGCACCUUGACGGUACCUAACCAGAAAGCCACGGCUAACUACGUGCCAGCAGCCGCGGUAA
rnacentral:rRNA from 1 species